CCUUUGUACACACCGCCCGCCGCUACUACCGAUUGAAUGGCUUAGUGAGACCCUCGGAUUGGUAUUCAGAAGCUUUAACCGGCAUCUGUUUGCUGAGAAGUUGGUCAAACUUGGUCAUUUAGAGGAAGUAAAAGUCGUAACAAGGUUUCCGUAGGUGACCUGCGGAAGGAUCAUUA
rnacentral:rRNA from 1 species